GGGCCGUUAACUCAAUGGUAGAGUGUCUGCCUCUUAAGCAGAGAGUUGUUGGUUCGAGCCCAACACGGCCCACCA
rnacentral:tRNA from 1 species